AUUGAACGCUGGCGGCAUGCCUUACACAUGCAAGUCGAACGGUAACAGGUCUUCGGAUGCUGACGAGUGGCGCACGGGUGAGUAAUACAUCGGAACGUGCCCGAUCGUGGGGGAUAACGAAGCGAAAGCUUUGCUAAUACCGCAUAAGAUCUACGGAUGAAAGCAGGGGACCGCAAGGCUUUGCGCGAACGGAGCGGCCGAUGGCAGAUUAGGUAGUUGGUGGGAUAAAAGCUUACCAAGCCGACGAUCUGUAGCUGGUCUGAGAGGACGACCAGCCACACUGGGACUGAGACACGGCCCAGACUCCUACGGGAGGCAGCAGUGGGGAAUUUUGGACAAUGGGCGAAAGCCUGAUCCAGCCAUGCCGCGUGCAGGAUGAAGGCCUUCGGGUUGUAAACUGCUUUUGUACGGAACGAAAAGACUCUGGUUAAUACCUGGGGUCCAUGACGGUACCGUAAGAAUAAGCACCGGCUAACUACGUG
rnacentral:rRNA from 1 species